rnacentral:sRNA from 1 species
UUUUUAUUAAUAACUACACGAACCUUUGUUGAUUUUGGAAAAAGUUGGCAUUGCCCUGAAGACGUUGGUAGUUAUGAAGGUAAUGUUGAAAUUGCCACCAAGUUACUUGUCCUGUCACUCUAACACUUCUCUUUGCUAAUAUCUCUUCUGUCAAAGAUUGAAUGUGUUUCUAUAUUAUAUACAUAUAUGUAUAAAUCAGUUUAUAUGGUCCUAUAUACACAUGUACAA